rnacentral:miRNA from 1 species
AUCAACGGAAAGCUUUUGGCUAGGGUUUGACUGAUAAGCAGCUGAGGGUUUUCAGUUUACGCAGAUGGAGGCAGUGAGUUUGAGGCAGCAAAUGCAUAACUUGUAGAAUUAUGAAUGGGAAAAGUGAUGGUACCGAUGACUUUCUUGCAAGUUAUGCAGUUGCUGCCUCAAGCUUGCUGCCUCCCUCUGCCAAAACUAGUGUGGACAAAAUAACCCAUGUCAAUGCAUUAUGUGAUCUUCACAGAUUCGCUGAUCUUGUCGGAGUCAAACCUUAUAAUGCUAUUCUGGUUAGAUAAAAAUCGGUUGAGAAUGUCUGCAGACCGUCUCAUGUCAGCUUUGAUGCAAAACAUAUCUUUGGCCUAUAGCAUUCAGUAAUGUUCUGCAUAACACAUUUGCUAGCGUUAUAUAUUGUUUGGGACACAGUGUGGGUACUCCUCUUUCAACUAUUUCUAGGUGAAUGCUGUCCAUUACAUCUCCUUCACAUGAGAUGGGUGAUUUGCAGAUGUCUCA